GGCCCUGCAGGCCUUGUGGGCCGUGGUGAGGACUUUGCCUGUGCUCUGGGCAAGGCGGGACCAGGGCUGGCUGGAGACAGGAGGUGUCCUGAACAAAGAAGGAACGGGAUCUGAUUUCAUUUUAACAGGACCUCGCUGGCUGCACACGGAGAGUAGACCAGGAGGGAGGCAAGAGAGAAGCAGAAACACCGGUGAGGAGGCAACUGCGAUAGUCCAGAGAGAGACACCGUGGCCGCUGGGACCAGGGUGGAGGGAGCGGAGGUGACACAGAGCUGUCAGCCUCUGGGUGCAGGUUGACAGGAGCCUCCUACAACAAGGCAGCAAAUCUAGGAAAUUGCACUGGGCGCUCAUCAUUCAAGCCUGAAACCCCUGCUCCAUCCCAGGGCCGCCAGCCCCCACCCUGGCUUGACACAUCCUUUAGAGAGUAAAAGGCUGCUUGCCGGUGUCACCCUGUCACUCCUGUCCCACCUCUGCCUCCCUCCUGCAGUUGAUGUUCCAUCCACACCUCCUUCUCCUUCACUCCUGCUGCUUGGGAUAAUUGCAGAACCAUGGAGCACAGAAUACAGAAUCCUGGGGGUGUGCGGAAGAGUUUAGCCAAAGCAGAGUCGGAAAAACCUAGGUCUUUUCUAGUUUCUGCCACUGACGGACUGUGUGACCUCAGCAAGUCAGUUCGCUUCUCCCAGCUGCUGUUUCCUCAGUGUACAAUGAGGACACCAAUAAUACCUACCCCACAGCGGGCUUACAGGGAUUUCCCCAGCGGAGGCUUCAGAAAUGCCUACACAGUGCCUGGCUUAUCGCAGUUGCACAAGGAAUAGCUGUCAUCAUGAGAAUCUCUUAAAGAUCACCCAGUUCAACCACGGUUUUAGAAAUGGACAAACGGAGGCCUGGAGAGGGCAAGUAACUUGCCUAAGACCACACAGCACGAUACCGCCAUCCCAGCUCAGACUCAACCCAGGUUCCCUCCUCUGGCCUUGGGAGUUCCAGGUGGCCUGUGAGGAAGGGCUGCCUCCCCCCCGUCACCCCCAGCUCCAGAAGUCUGUCCACACAAGGCAGCGUCGGGGCACACAUGGGAAGCAGUCACUUCACACUCACCAUCGAGCAGGUCUGGACACUCAAGUGCAGUCCCGCCGCCCUCCUUGCAGCUGCCUCACUUUCUCUAUUGCCGCCAGUAAGCGUCUGCCCCCAUCUGGCCCGGGACUCCCGGACUUGAGCUAGGGCUCGGCAAAGUCCAUCCACUCUGGCCACCAGCCGCCGGUCCGCUCUCUGGGAAGAUCGCCUUGAGGACCUGCUGCGCCCCCAGUCUUCCUUCUGGUGCAGGGAGACCGGUGCCCUGCCGGGCUCUGAUAAUGCAGCCAGGACUCUUAUCUGGCCUGUGUCAGGGUGCAGGCGGCCAUGGAGCUGGGGUUCCAGGAAGCCCUCCUGGGGCCCCCCAGCCGGCCCCGCUCCCCCCGGAUGCCGCCUGCUGCUCUGGACGCGGCCGAUUGCUUGUCAGUGUCACUCCCAGCUCUGCCGGGGGGAAUUCCAUGCUGGCCCCCCGCAGGCGGGGCCCCCACCCCUUCACGUCCCACCCCCCACUCCCAUUUUGGCAAGGGGACUGGGAAAAGGCAGCUAAUUUCAAGUCCGCA